AUAGUAGUUGAAUUAUUACAUCAUCCAUCUCAGUAAUGAAGACUGUCUGUCUCAGCACUGAGAUUUCAGGUUAGACUGUUGCUGCAGGGUUUAAGGUUUAAGGUUUAUUCAUGCUCAAUAUGCGUCCCCAAAGGCAGGUUUUGGGAAGAGCCAACAAUCAGCUUCUCUGUACAUCACCAUCUUGAAUUAUUUUGUUCAAAGACAAAGCUCAGCAUCCAAAACAAGAUGUCAAACAAGAAGACGUCAAAAAAAGAAGUUUCAGGCUAAAAUGGAAGACAAGUACUCCCAGCAAUGCAGACAAGUAACCAGGAGCAUUACCCAUAAGUGGUUAAUAAGAAGACAGAAUGGCAAGGUUCUUUAGAAGAGCUAGAAGGAAUAAUCUCAGGAUUCCUGCACCCUCAGAAAAUACUCCUCCCACCCAGACAUUGCUGACUACUGCCUGGAUUACUGUGGGGUCCAAACAGCAGCAGGGGAAGAGAGCACUGACAAAGAACCUUUGA
rnacentral:lncRNA from 1 species